GAUGAACGCUGGCGGCGUGCCUAAUACAUGCAAGUCGAACGAACAGACGAGGAUCUUGUUCCGCUGUCGUUUGCCGCGGGCGGGUGAGUAACACGUGUAUCACCUACCUAUCAUACGGGUAUAACUUCGAGAAACCGGAGCUAAUACCGUAUAAUAUAUUGAACCGCAUGGUGCAAUAGUGAGUGACGGUUUUUCUGUCACUUAUAGAUGGUUCCGCGCCGCAUUAGCUAGUUGUUAAGGUAACGGCUUAGGAAGGCGACGAUGCGUAGCCGACCGCAGGGGGGGAUAGGCCACACGGGAACUGGGACACGGUCCAGAGUCCUACGGGAGGGAGCAGUAGGGAAUCUGACGCAAUGGGCGAAAGCAUGACACAGCAGCGCCGAGUCAGUGAUGGCGGUCCUGGGAUCGUGAAACUCUGUUAUUAGGGAAGAACAAAUGUGGAAGUAGAUAUGCACGUAUUGACGGUAACUAAUCAAGAAGCACCGGCUAACUACGUG
rnacentral:rRNA from 1 species